AUACGGAGGAUCCGAGCGUUAUCCGGAUUUAUUGGGUUUAAAGGGAGCGUAGGCGGGAGAUCAAGUCAGCUGUGAAAUGUAGAUGCUCCACAUCUGCACUGCAGUUGAAACUGGGGUUCUUGAGAGUGCAAGAGGCGGAUGGAAUUCAUGGUGUAGCGGUGUAAUGCUUAGAUAUCAUGAAGAACUCCGAUUGCGAAGGCAGUCCGCUGGGGCACGUCUGACGCUGAUGCUCGAAGGUGCGGGAAUCAAACAGGGUUAGAUACCCUGGUAGUCCGCACGGUAAACGAUGAUUACCCGCUGUCGGCGGCAGACAGUCGGCGGCCAAGCGAAAGCGAUAAGUAAUCCACCUGGGGAGCACGCCGGCAACGGUGAAACUCAAAUGAAUUGACGGGG
rnacentral:rRNA from 1 species